CCAGAUCACCAUGAACGAUCUGCCAGUGGGACGAUCUGUAGAUGAGACUAUUCGACUGGUUCAGGCCUUCCAGUACACGGUUACCCAUGGAGAGGUAUGUCCAGCGGGUUGAAGGCCAGGUGCCGAUACGAUCGUUCCCAACCCAGAGGAGAAAACCAAGUAUUUUGCCAAGAACAACUAAGGACAGAUGGCCAUCCCAUUAGCAGCCAAGCCCAGUUCGUUCCAAGUGUUCACGACUGAAUCACGACUAAAUCGAACAAAAGACCCCCAUCGCCUGAGUCCUCUGUACCAAUGUCCGUAGUGCCACCGAUUGCAAAUGGUUUGCAUUUGUUUUGUAAAAAAUAUAGUUUGUUUAUUUUACAGCAUAACUGAGAGAUAAAUAAAUUGAUGAAGUACA